rnacentral:rRNA from 1 species
GAUGAACGCUAGCUACAGGCUUAACACAUGCAAGUCGAGGGGAAACGACAUCGAAAGCUUGCUUUUGAUGGGCGUCGACCGGCGCACGGGUGAGUAACGCGUAUCCAACCUGCCCACCACUUGGGGAUAACCUUGCGAAAGUAAGACUAAUACCCAAUGAUAUCUCUAGAAGACAUCUGAAAGAGAUUAAAGAUUUAUCGGUGAUGGAUGGGGAUGCGUCUGAUCAGCUUGUUGGCGGGGUAACGGCCCACCAAGGCUACGAUCAGUAGGGGUUCUAAGAGGAAGGUCCCCCACAUUGGAACUGAGACACGGUCCAAACUCCUACGGGAGGCAGCAGUGAGGAAUAUUGGUCAAUGGGCGAGAGCCUGAACCAGCCAAGUAGCGUGCAGGAUGACGGCCCUAUGGGUUGUAAACUGCUUUUAUAAGGGAAUAAAGUGAGCCUCGUGAGGCUUUUUGCAUGUACCUUAUGAAUAAGGACCGGCUAAUUCCGUGCCAGCAGCCGCAGUAAUAC